rnacentral:tRNA from 1 species
GGUAAAAUGGCUGAGAUAGGCUGUAGAUUGUAAAUUUUCAAAUGAGGGUGCCCCUCUUUUAUCA